CACCUCUCAGGGUCGCACCUGGAGAGUUUCCAGUACUCUACCGGUCUCAACUACAGGAGGUAAAGUCAAGCAGAGGCCUACCCAUUCCAUUCCUAGCUUGAGCAGUGGCUAGCGAGUGGAAGGCAAUCUGCUAUAAGU